GACCGCGUAGCUCAGUUGGCAGAGCGUUGGGCUAGUAUUCCAAAGGUCGUAGGUUCGAUUCCAACCGUGGCCG
rnacentral:tRNA from 1 species